AUGAAAUCACUGUUCAACCGAAAACCCAUCGUCAUCCUCAACGGCAUCACGCUCAACCUCACUGUUCGUGCAUACACGCGCGCGCCUGGCCGGGGAACUGGAAGAAGUAUUCAAGAAAUUCGACGUCAAUGGCGACGGGAAGAUCUCGGCCUCCGAGCUGGGAUCCAUAAUGGGAAGCUUAGGGCAGCCGGCAAGCGAUGA